UGAAAAUAACAAAAUACCACGCGACAAUGAAGGUGUUAAGAAACCAGGAAUUUCAGUCUAUAAAGCAUACGUGAAUGCCGGAGCAGGACUUUUCUUCAAAAUCGUUAUUUUAUCCGCGCUAAUUAUAUCGCAAUCCGUUACUAGUGCCAGCGACUACUGGCUAAUCAAAUGGCUGCAAGAUAUUAGAAUCUAUAGCCAAAACGAAGACAAUCUGGAAAAUAUGACAUUUAAUAAAAGUUUUUUUAACGAAAUUAAAAACAAUAGUUUUUAUUAUAGUAAAUAUUUCGACAUGUAUGUUUAUGUAGGAUUGAUAUGUGCUGUAUUUCUAACGUCGUUACCUUCCGGAUUAUUGUUAUGGAAAUUUUUUACAGCUGCUUCUUUCAAGCUUCACAACAAUAUGUUUCGUUGUAUCAUUCGAACUCCGAUAGCAUUUUUGGAUAACAAUCCCAUUGG